UAUGGACAAACUCCAAAAACACAGUGCUCUACAGCAAUUGCUAGUGCAACAUUCCGUUCUGAUCACACCAUAGACACUUCAUUUUAGACAUCGUAAUGAAAAAGAGGUCUUUCCAGCACCAAAAUGGCUCAGUGAAAGACCCUCACUCCUUGACAUAGGGAGCCAUCUAUGGUGAGAGCGGGGACUAAUUGCCUGUGCAGAGCGUAUGGGGUGACGAGAGGGACUAAUUGCCUGUGAGGCAGAGGGGGACUAUUGCCUGUGACAGAGAGGGGACUACAUGCCUUGGGAGAGAGGGGGACUAAUUGCUUGUGAGCAGAGGGGGGACUAAUUUGCCUGUGAGCAGAGAGGGAGACUAAUUGCCUAUAAAGCAGAGAGGGGACUAAUUGCCUAUAAGCAGAGGAGGGGACUAACUAAUUGCCUUAAGCAGAGAGGGGCGCAGCUACUAAUUGCCUAUAGAGCGAGGGCACUAAUUACCUGUGAGCAAAAAGCCGUACAAACUUCUUCAACUCCUCAAAAACAACAUAAAAGCUUUAAACGGAAUAAAACCACAAAUGCCUUCUCUCAAAUACGUUCUUUAGAGUUGGCAAAGUGAAAAAUCAGAAAGAAAAAAAAAAAAAAAAGUUUUGUUUUUUAAGGAAAAAACCUGUCACUGUCUAAUAUUGACUAAAACAUUUCACAUCCAUCUAGUACAUCACUGAUAAUACUCGUUAAACAUAAAAAGGUUAUGUU
rnacentral:lncRNA from 1 species